rnacentral:misc_RNA from 1 species
AACUUUCAGCAACGGAUCUCUUGGUUCUCUCAUCGAUGAAGAACGCAGCGAAAUGCGAUAAGUAAUGUGAAUUGCAGAAUUCAGUGAAUCAUCGAAUCUUUGAACGCAACUUGCGCUCCUUGGUACUCUGAGGAGCAUGCCUGUUUGAGUGUCAUUAAACUUCUUCUCAACCCAUCCAGUUUCUCUGUGUGUGGGCUUUGGAAAAUUGGGGGCUUGCUGGUUAUCUAUUUGUCCAGCUCUCCUGAAAAGCAAUAGCGACUUAUUGGAUGCCAUCAGGUGUGCUAACAUAUCUAAACCUUUGCAGUGGCUGCAUUAGUGCUGCUUUAGUGGGCAUUGAUGAUAUUUGACCUCAAAUCAGAUAGGACUACCCGCUGAACUUAAGCAUAUCACUAAGCGGAGUCU